rnacentral:rRNA from 1 species
ACGCGUAAGAACUUGCCUCUUAGACCGGGACAACAUCUGGAAACGGAUGCUAAUACCGGAUGUUAUGGUUUUUUCGCAUGGAGGAAUCAUGAAAGCUAGAUGCGCUAAGAGAGAGCUUUGCGUCCCAUUAGCUCGUUGGUGAGGUAACGGCCCACCAAGGCAAUGAUGGGUAGCCGGCCUGAGAGGGUGAACGGCCACAAGGGGACUGAGACACGGCCCUUACUCCUACGGGAGGCAGCAGUGGGGAAUAUUGGACAAUGGACCACAAGUCUGAUCCAGCAAUUCUGUGUGCACGAUGACGUUUUUCGGAAUGUAAAGUGCUUUCAGUCGGGAAGAAGUCAGUGACGGUACCGACAGAAGAAGCGACGGCUAAAUACGUGCCAGCAGCCGCGGUAAUACGUAUGUCGCAAGCGUCAUCCGGAUUUAUUGGGCGUAAAGCGCGUCUAGGCGGCAAGGAAAGUCUGAUGUGAAAAUGCGGAGCUCAACUCCGUAUGGCGUUGGAAACUGCCUUACUAGAGUACUGGAGAGGUAGGCGGAACUACAAGUGUAGAGGUGAAAUUCGUAGAUAUUUGUAGGAAUGCCGAUGGGGAAGCCAGCCUACUGGACAGAUACUGACGCUAAAGCGCGAAAGCGUGGGUAGCAAACAGGAUUAGAUACCCUGGUAGUCCACGCUGUAAACGAUGAUUACUAGGUGUUGGGGGUCAAACCUCAGCGCCCAAGCUAACGCGAUAAGUAAUCCGCCUGGGGAGUACGUACGCAAGUAUGAAACU